rnacentral:rRNA from 1 species
UACGGGGGGGGCAAGCGUUGUUCGGAAUUACUGGGCGUAAAGGGCGCGUAGGCGGCCUGCUAAGUCGGACGUGAAAUCCCUCGGCUCAACCGAGGAACUGCGUCCGAUACUGGUGGGCUUGAAUCCGGGAGAGGGAUGUGGAAUUCCAGGUGUAGCGGUGAAAUGCGUAGAUAUCUGGAGGAACACCGGUGGCGAAGGCGGCAUCCUGGACCGGUAUUGACGCUGAGGCGCGAAAGCUGAGGGGAGCGAACGGG